rnacentral:rRNA from 1 species
GAGAGGCUUUGUCCCUAGUACGAGAGGACCGGGAUGAACGUACCUCUGGUGGAGCUGUUGUCGCGCCAGCGGCAGUGCAGCAUAGCUAUGUACGGACGGGAUAACCGCUGAAGGCAUCUAAGCGGGAAACCCCCCUUAAAACGAGACCUCCCUUGAGGGCCGUGGAAGACGACCACGUCGAUAGGCCGGGGGUGCAAGCGCGGCGACGCGUUGAGCCGACCGGUACUAAUCGCCCGAUUGGCUUGAUCG